UAUAUAAAGAACACUUUCAAUCUCUCCUGGUGGUGACAGCUCAGAUUCCACGUCAGAAAUAGGAAGUCUACAGCGUUGACACGUCGGAUCCGCACCGUUUCACUAAAGCGUUGCUCUGUCCGAACGGGCUUCACGUGGGCUUCGUCACGCUCUAAUCAAAUGUUUUCUGUCGCGAGGCCCGUCCGCAUACGUCUUCUACGGGGAACCCUAAACAGAUGCUCCCUUCCUGUUCUUCGUUCGUCGCCUAUCGCCGCAGCGGCUGUCUAGAACCUGUAACGGUUUUGCUUUCAAUCACCUUAAAUCGUCUUUAAUUCACCAAUAAUGGAGUUUCAAGAGGAUGUAGUCUCGAAGAAUCUAUGUAAGAAGCUUCGUUUGCGUCUUUACGCCUUCCUUUCUAAUCCUUUGAAACGUUAAUGGUUAUUUAUUCAUGGUUGUCUAAUCUCUGCAAGUUGGUCUCUCAGCACCUAUAAAAGCUGCAACACAAGAAGUUGCGAUGAACGGAGUCCUCAUCGGUUUGAAUCAGCCCUAGGGACGACAGAGUCGCGGAGAUCUUCGAUUCCGUACCUCUCAUUCCUCCUCUCGAGAUCUCUCGCUCAUCAUGUUAGAGGAGCAUUACGUGGCUAUGUGAGGAGAUGGAGUUGAGAUGAGGAUGCUAGCUCUUACAGCUUUGGAUGUUCUACGGUUCGUCAGAUUUUUACAAUUGAUAUAGGUUUUUGUGUGUUUGAGUGAACUUUUGACGCUGAGGAUAUGCAAGAGUUCAAUGUCUAGCAUGCAGGACAGCAGAUGACUUAUUGCAAUAAGCUGGCUAGACUUGAUGGAGUUCCAUACCGUGAUUUCACUGGAUAGGUCUUUGGUUUUUUUUUUUGGAAAAAAAAAAAAUUGUAGUUUGCAUUUUAGGGGUUAACAUGUUAAACUCAAGCAUCUUUCUUAGUUGUUGUUUGCCUUGCGCUGUUGGCAGGAGAGGAUUUGACUAUUCUCUAUGGGUUCGAAUGUAAGGAUAAUGUUUUAGACCAACACACAAAACCCACCGGGUCAUAUAAACGAACAGUGUCACUUACCAAAUAACCAAAAAUUUAGCAAAACACCCUUACAAAGCUGCAGCGCAACAUAGCGUCCCAAUAAAAGCCACCCUCAAGAACUGCAUACUAACCUCCCUGCAACCCAUGUUAGUCAGGAUAGUUGUUUGCUUGAACUCUGACCUCACAGCACCUUCUGUUUUCUUUUUAUCAGCACCUACAACAACUAAAACAAUGGAAUCAAAAGCAGAGCUUGAAGGUCAUUUGUUUGAAUCAUCAACCUUAAACUGUUGCUAUUAAACCAAUAUAAACCCAGUAAGGACUACAUUAUUACUUUUUAAAAAUUAGAAAUCACCCAACAAUUAUGUUGUCAACGCUUAAAACACAUUUAUAUUAAAAGGAACCGUCAAAUUCCUUUAAAAAAAUAAUAAUUUCAGUCCACUAUGGAAACCAUGGUAUACUUCUUAUUGAACCAAAUGACGUGUCGAAGUGUCGAACCCGGACAUGGAACCAUGACCAUGGGUAACAAAAACUCAAAAUACAUGUGUUAAUAACGAAGCCAUUACACAAUCCACACAUCACAUAUCAAACAUACAAUAGUACAAGCUUCUGUUGGGGCGUUAGAAUAGCGCAAAGAAACAAAAAAAAAAAGAAGAUUUUGAACAACCUAGCCAUAACAAAAUACCGCUUGCAAUCGUUUUUAAAUUGUGCUUUAAGGUUUUAAGCAACAAAUGCCACUGACCGACAAAUAAACAACAGACCUGGGAAACUGUGAGCUUACCACGUCUCUCAAUUUUCUCAACACCAGUUUCAAGGUCAUAGAAAGUAUAGACCAGUUUCAAUUUUCUUUAAUAUGAUGCAUUUGUAAAAUAAACAAAAGAGUUUUUUUGGUUGAAUAAAUUUAAAAUUCAAUUCAUGAAAAGGAAAAAUUUCUCAACACCUCAUAACCCGUGCAAUAUGAAUAACACAGUGUGUUGACCCCGCACGUUGCAGCCCACGACCGCAGUCAGAAGUGCCGAAAAUCCUACACUCCACUGAUUUAGGUGGAGAUAUUAUGGUGCGUAGACUGCCAACUAAAAGUUUGAUUAUGGAAUAUGUGACAUGUUCCGAUCUCCCAACGACGACAAUGGCUGCAUGUGACUUAGAUUCCAUCUGAAAUAACAAAUAGAAGUUCCACAUGUAGGCUUAUGUCAAAGCUUAUGAUCUCCUUAUUUCUCACACAAAUGAGGAACUACAACAAUGAGGCUGUAAAAAGGGAGGACUAACCCGCCUAGAUUCUAAAUACAUGGAUCAUUAAACAUCAUUUUAGAGAAUGUAACCACCAAACUUCACAGUUCAUGUUAUUGCCACAAAGAAAUCUUUAAAGACGUCCGGAUGACCAAGGUUAGAGCUACACAUUUUUAUAUACCCGAGUCUGUUUGCAGUGAAUAAUUGUCGUAAUUUUCAUUGCAUAUUUGAUAUUGGGACGACUCAUUUCUCUCAGUGAACGGAGAGACACAGCGUAAGCGUCGAAGUGGACAAGUUCUUCUGUAAUCCCGAUCUUAUUUUUAAAAUUUUAAUAACAGUUUAAUCUCAGGACAUACAGUCAUUUAGUUGGUGACCUUAUUACACUUACUCAAAACAUCGUCUACGGAUACUCGCAUUGUAUCGUUUAUAUAGUCUAUCCUCUGAUUUGGGUUUAUGUGCUUCAAAUAUUUUUUAAAUGAAAAUACUCAAAUAACACUAAUAUAUAGGUUUAUAAAAUAUAUAUGUUUACAUACACGCAUAAAUAUAGUAGCAAUUUUUUCAGAACAGAAAACUAAUCUGCACACAUAUAAUAUAGAUAGAUACAUAUAUAAUUAAACAAUUCAUUCCAACGAAACAAUUAAAAUUAAAUUAUUUCAUACGGAGAAGAAAAAAAAAACAUAGUAUCCGUUCCUUUGUCAUUACCAUUGAAACACUAUUUAAUU